UCUCCUCUCUCUUUCACUUUCUUUCUGCUCCGUGAAAAGAUCGAUUUUUUAUUUUUCUCGGCGAAUAUUUCCGUUGGAUUGGAUCUGAUUCUGGUUUUGUUUCGUUUCUGAAUCGGAUUUUUUCUCCCUCGCCAGCUUAUACUUCAGGAUACGUAUUUGCCUCUCCUGAGCCAAAGUUUUGGGUAGCUAAAUUAUAAAUCUAGAAAAGACGGCAUGGCUGUUUCCAUGAGAGAUUUAGAUUCAGCUUUCCAAGGAGCUGGACAAAAGUCUGGACUUGAAAUCUGGCGUAUUGAAAACCUUCGGCCUGUUCCUAUCCCAAAUUCUUCCCAUGGCAAGUUUUAUACAGGCGACUCCUAUGUGAUCUUGAAAACAACUGGUUUAAAAAAUGGGGCCUUGCGGCAUGAUAUUCAUUAUUGGCUUGGGAAAGAUACCUCGCAGGAUGAAGCUGGUACUGCGGCCAUCAAGACAGUUGAAUUGGACGCAGCUCUUGGAGGACGUGCGGUUCAGUAUCGUGAAGUACAGGGUCAUGAAACAGAGAAAUUCUUAUCUUAUUUUAAGCCAUGCAUCAUACCUCUAGAGGGCGGAGUUGCAUCUGGGUUCAAGCACGUUGAGGCUGAAGAACACAAGACACGGUUGUUUGUUUGUAAAGGAAAACAUGUAGUCCAUGUUAAAGAGGUUCCUUUUGCUCGAUCGUCGCUCAAUCAUGACGACAUAUUUAUUCUAGAUACCAAGUCCAAAAUUUUUCAGUUUAAUGGUUACAACUCAUCCAUUCAAGAGAGAGCUAAAGCGUUAGAAGUUGUCCAGUACAUCAAAGAUACAUAUCAUCACGGGAAAUGUGAAGUAGCUGCUGUUGAGGAUGGAAAGUUGAUGGCUGAUGCAGAAACUGGGGAAUUUUGGGGUUUCUUUGGUGGCUUUGCUCCACUUCCAAAGAAAACAUCCAGUGACGAGGAGAAAACUGUUGAUUCUCAUACUAUUAAGCUACUUUGUGUUGAGAAGGGGAAGGCAGAACCUGUUGAUACUGAUUCUUUGACGAGGCAGUUGCUCGACACAAAUAAAUGCUACCUGUUAGAUUGUGGUGUGGAAGUGUUUGUGUGGAUGGGGAGAAAUACAUCCCUUGAUGAAAGAAAGGCCGCAAGUGGAGCCGCAGAGGAGUUAGUAAGUAGUGAAAGUCGACCAAAAGUCCACAUAAUUCGAGUCAUUGAGGGAUUUGAGACAGUGGUGUUCAGGUCUAAAUUUGAAUCAUGGCCUCAGACAGCUGAAGUUACUGUGUCAGAGGAUGGUAGAGGCAAGGUAGCAGCACUUUUAAAACGUCAAGGGGUUAAUGUGAAGGGCUUGUUAAAAGCGGAUCCUGUGAAAGAAGAACCUCAACCCCAUAUUGACUGCACUGGACACUUGCAGGUGUGGCGUGUUAAUGGCCAGGAAAAGAUUCUUCUUCCAGCUUCGGAUCAGUCGAAACUUUACAGUGGAGAUUGUUACAUCUUCCAGUAUUCUUAUCCUGGAGAAGAAAAGGAGGAGUACCUUAUAGGAACAUGGUUUGGGAAGCAGAGUGUUGAGGAAGACAGAGUCUCAGCCGUUUCAUUGGCAAGUAAGAUGGUUGAAUCACUAAAGUUUCUGGCUUCCCAGGGUCGUAUCUAUGAGGGAAAUGAACCAGCACUGUUCUAUUUAAUCUGCCAGAGCGUUAUAGUUUAUAAGGGUGGUCUUAGUGAUGGCUACAAGAAAUAUGUUGAAGAGAAGGAAGUUCCUGAUGAGACAUAUCAAGAAGAUGGUGUUGCACUAUUUCGUAUCCAGGGCUCUGGACCUGAUAAUAUGCAAGCUAUACAAGUUGAUGCAGUUGCAUCAUCGUUGAAUUCCUCCUACUGCCACAUUCUACACAGUGGCUCAACUGUCUUUACAUGGACAGGAAGCCUUACAACCUCAGACACCCAUGAGCUUGUUGAGAGGCAGCUGGAUCUGAUUAAGCCGAAUGUUCAGUCAAAACCACAGAAGGAAGGUUCAGAAUCUGAACAGUUUUGGGAUUUGUUGGGAGGAAAGUCCGAAUAUUCCAGCCAAAAGAUUGGAAGGGAUGCUGAAAGUGAUCCUCACCUAUUUUCUUGCACCUUUUCAAAUGGAAAUUUGAAGGUGACAGAGAUAUACAAUUUCUCCCAGGAUGAUUUGAUGACCGAAGAUAUAUUUAUCUUGGAUUGCCACUCAGAGAUAUUCGUUUGGGUUGGCCAACAGGUCGAUUCCAAGAAUAAAAUGCAAGCUUUAACUAUUGGGGAGAAAUUUCUUGAGCGUGAUUUCCUUCUAGAAAACUUGUCUCGUGAAGCCCCAAUUUAUAUUGUCAUGGAAGGGAGUGAGCCACCUUUCUUCACGUGCUUCUUCACGUGGGACUCAGCAAAGUCUUCAAUGCACGGGAACUCAUUCCAGAGGAAACUUACUUUAGUUAAAAAUGGGGGUACUCCAGUCACAGAUAAACCUAAACGGAGGACACCUGUGUCUUAUGGAGGAAGGUCUAGUGUCCCAGAUAAAUCUCAGCGUUCCCGAAGCAUGUCUUUUAGCCCUGAUCGAGUUCGUGUGAGGGGCAGGUCUCCAGCAUUCAACGCUCUGGCUGCUACUUUUGAAAAUCCCAGUGCCAGGAACCUUUCAACUCCACCUCCUGUGGUUAGAAAAUUAUACCCAAAAUCAGUGACUCCAGAUUCAGCAAAACUGAAUUCAAAGGCCUCAGCUAUUGCGGCACUUAGUGCUGGCUUUGAGAAAUCAGCACCACCAAGAGAGGCUAUGAUACCCCGAUCCAUCAAAGUGAGCCCAGAGGUGACCAAACCAAAACUAGAGACAAACAACAAGGAGAACUAUAGGAGCAGCAGAAUAGAAUCUCUCACAAUACAAGAAGAUGCGAAAGAGAAUGAAGCAGAAGAUGAGGAAGGUCUUGUAAUUUUCCCGUAUGAACGCCUUAAAACAACUUCAACAGAUCCUGUUACAGAGAUUGAUGUGACCAAGAGAGAGACCUAUCUUUCUUCGGCCGAGUUUAGAGAGAAAUUCGGGAUGUCAAAGGAAGCUUUCUAUAAGUUGCCCAAAUGGAAACAGAACAAGCAUAAAAUGGCCCUUCAACUGUUCUGAGUCUCCUUCCUAUCACUGUUUUCUUCAAGCUUCCUGCAGUGUAGGAUGCAGGUUGAGAAAAGAUUGCCUGCAAAUCUUGGGAGGACUCAAUUUCUCAGGAGUACAAGGGACAGCAUCAGUGCUUUUUUAGCUGCUUCUGCUCCCAAGAAGUUGGUUUUUUAUAUUAUUGGACAGAGUCAAAUUUUUUUUUUCCCGUUUUAUUUUUGGUCUUGCGAGUUUGCUUGAACGUCUAGGCUUGGUUUUUUCGUCGAGUUAGCAGGUUGCUAUUCUUUAUGGUCACAGGUUUGUUGUGAGUUUUCUUCCCCCCAAAUUUAUCACAUUUUUUAAUUAAAAAUUUGAUUUUCAGUAGAGCAAUUAGUUGGGGCUUGCAAAUGCAGUCUAUUUAGGUUGUAUUGAUAAUUGAGGAUGUAAGUGUGUACAGCAGAGUGUAAAAACCAGUCUGGUCCUAAUUUGUUUUGAACAAUAAAAGGUGUGAUUUUUUUCC